rnacentral:rRNA from 1 species
GGAGGAGGCAAGCGUUAUCCGGAAUUAUUGGGCGUAAAGCGUCCGCAGGCGGCUUUUUAAGUCUGUUGUCAAAGGUCACAGCUCAACUGUGGAUCGGCAAUGGAAACUGGGAAGCUAGAGUGUGGUAGGGGUAGAGGGAAUUCCCGGUGUAGCGGUGAAAUGCGUAGAUAUCGGGAAGAACACCAGUGGCGAAGGCGCUCUACUGGGCCACAACUGACGCUGAGGGACGAAAGCUAGGGGAGCGAAAGGGAUUAGAUACCCCUGUAGUCCUAGCUGUAAACGAUGGAUACUAGGUGUUGGACGUAUCGACCCGUGCAGUACCGUAGCUAACGCGUUAAGUAUCCCGCCUGGGGAGUACGCACGCGAAGUGUG